UACGGAGGGUGCAAGCGUUAUCCGGAUUCACUGGGUUUAAAGGGUGCGUAGGCGGGUCUUUUAAGUCAGGGGUGAAAUCCUGGAGCUCAACUCCAGAAUUGCCUUCGAUACUGGCUUUCUAGAGGCUGGAAGAGGUUAGUGGAAUUCCCAGUGUAGAGGUGAAAUUCGUAGAUAUUGGGAAGAACACCAGUGGCGAAGGCGGCUAACUGGUCCAGAUCUGACGCUGAGGUGCGAAAGCGUGGGGAGCAAACAGG
rnacentral:rRNA from 1 species